GUGUUUUUGAGACCUUAAGAGAAAGCCAGAUGGAUCCAGCUAAAGUAAUUGGAAAAUUAAAGGAGCAGGUGCGCGUGGAGCACAAGUGGCGACAUAAUUAUCCGGAGGUGUGGAAUAGAAUUUCCGAUAAUGCUGCCAAUAAGUUCUACCAUCAGAAUCAGAUUGACUCACAGCUAAAGGGACAACUUAACCUGCAAGAAUUCUGCCCUUUUGUUUACGACAAUAAGGGCGAAUCCCAAUUUAUGUCACCGGGUAUGCAUAAUAGCUUAAUAGCUAGAUGUCGCUGUGGUCGGUUCCGCCGGGCCUCACACAUAGGAAGAUGUCUACAGAGAACGGCAAGUCCAGAUUAUAACGUUACACAGUCAAGUCCCAAAGAUUCCCUAAUGAAAACAGGGGAACCCGGAGAUAAUGCUCAAACGAAAAUACCAGUAAAUGUGCCACGCACAUCCAACUCUUCUAUUGGGCUUUUAGGAAUCCAGCCGAGCUAUCGAAAACUAGAGCAAUCUAUGCAGUACGUUUCGCCGACCUUCUCGAUGACCGGGCCACGCAUAACAGCAGUGCCGUAUAAUAUUAUUAUAAUAGGCUAAAAUUUAAAUUUGACGGAGUAGGGAAUUCAGGACCGAAUUCAUCAGCAGACCUGCGCAAUAAAAAUUUAGACUAAAUAGAUGCCUCCUAUAUAUCUCAUAAAACUGGAAUUACCAGAGAUGGCAGUUUCGCAAACCUGUACUGUUGUCUUUCGAAAUGCAGCUUGCUAUGUGAAAAUAUUUUAGUAUCGCUAGAGCAGCGAACGAGUGACUGCGCAACUUAUUUUUCAAACUACACAAAACCCGUUGGAAAAAUCUGGAACGAUAAUAUCACGCUAUGUUCCUACUUCUGAGGCAGGCUG